rnacentral:rRNA from 1 species
UACGUAGGAUGCAAGCGUUGUCCGGAAUUAUUGGGCGUAAAGAGUUCGUAGGCGGUUGCCUAAGUCUGGUGUUAAAUACAGGAGCUCAACUCCUGCAUGGCACUGGAAACUGGGCGGCUAGAGUGUGGUAGAGGUCACGGGAAUUCCAGGUGUAGCGGUGAAAUGCGUAGAUAUCUGGAGGAACACCGGUGGCGAAGGCGGCAUCCUGGACCGACACUGACACUGAGGAGCGAAAGCCAGGGGAGCAAACGGG